rnacentral:rRNA from 1 species
GUUGUUGCAGUUAAAAAGCUCUUAGUUGGAUUCCUGGCACGGGGUAGCCGGUCCGCCUUGCAAAAGGUGCGCACUGAGCGGCCUCGGCCAUCCUUGCGAUGGUCUAUCCUGGCAUUCAGUUGUCGGGGUGGGGAUUCGCGACGUUUACUGUGAAAAAAUCAGAGUGUUCAACGCAGGCUUACGCCUUGAAUACAUUAGCAUGGAAUAAUAAGAUAGGACCUCGG